rnacentral:lncRNA from 1 species
UGGGCACUGGGAGUGCAGUUUUUUAAAUUUUUUUAACAAGGAUUCAGUGAAUACUGAAGCAGCCUCAACACUGAAGGUCUCUACAUUUCUUUACAAAUGUUAUACAGACAUACAAGUUGGCAGCAAGUCCAAUGCUUUUGAGGGAUUCCAGAAAUGGAGAUUUUAUCAACUGAGGAUACAAUAUCCUUAUUUUUCCAUGCAAGUACAAACCCUGUCUUCACAGCUGUAACCGAGGAAGGAAGCAUUCUUUGCCAGGCGUGAAGAAACUAUUGUUUCUGAAAGACGUUCAUACGGACAAAUCAG